rnacentral:other from 1 species
GGCAACCUGGGAUGUUCGAUAACUCUUGUAAUUUUGAACCUACAAAACUUUAAACGGGAAACUUAUUAUCUCUGUAAUAUGUCAGGCCUCCGAUUAGCAGUGGAAGACAGAAAAGCAGAUGCGGUUACCCACCUAGCCGAAUCGCUAGGAGUCAAAAUACAGGAGCCGGCAUUUUGGGGAUGU